rnacentral:lncRNA from 1 species
CGAAUUGACGGAUUACCAGAAGAAUUACCAAAAUUUUACAAAUCCAAAAAAUUAUAAUAUGAAGGUAGUUGUUUCAAAAAUAAAAAAGUAAAUUAAAAAUCACCGGAUCUAAUCUUCUCCCCUUGUCUAAUCUUUAGUGUGAUGAGAUCUUGAAUUUCUUUGGGGCAUGAUGAGUGAGAGAGAUGAGAGGUCAAAAGAACCUGAAACCACCAUUUCUGAAACGACAUAGCACCAAACUCCAUUGAAGGACCAAAGUCUUCAGAGAGAGAGAGAGUUCGCUAUCGAACAAUCCAGUAGAGAGAGAAUGGUUAGAAAUCGGAUGGAUUUGGAGAGAGAGAAAUGGAAUCUUCGAGUCUCGAGGGUUCUGGGAAGUGAUGGAUUUUGAUCCUCUCCAUC